UACAGAGGGGGCAAGCGUUUAUUCGGAAUUAUUGGGCGUAAAGGGCGCGUAGGCGGCCUGGCAAGUGGAAGGUGAAAUCCCUCGGCUUAACCGAGGAACUGCCCUCCAAACUGCUUGGCUUGAGUCCGGGAGAGGUGAGUGGAAUUCCCAGUGUAGCGGUGAAAUGCGUAGAUAUUGGGAGGAACACCAGUGGCGAAGGCGGCUCACUGGACCGGAACUGACGCUGAGGCGCGAAAGCGUGGGGAGCGAACAGG
rnacentral:rRNA from 1 species